AUGGUGUCAGGGGCUCCCCUGCUGUGGAUCCUGCUGCUCAGGGUUCCAGGCUCCACUGGGGACAUUGUGCUGCCACAGUCUCCAGCCUCCUUGGCUGUAUCUCCAGGAGAAAGGGCCACUAUUCCCUUCAGGGCCAGCCAGAGUGUCAAAACCAUGAAAUGGUAUCAGCAGAAACCAGAAUGGUAUCAGCAGAAACCAGGACAACCCCCUAAAUUCCUGAUCUGUGGAACAUCCAUUCGAGAUUCUGGGGUCCCAGCCAGUUUCAGUGGCAGUGGGUCUGGGACUGACUUCACCCUCACAAUUCACCGAGUAGAGGCCGAUGCUGCUGCAAACUAUUACUGUCAGCAGAAUAAGGAGCUUCCUCCCACAGUCCUCUAG